rnacentral:rRNA from 1 species
UACGGAGGGAGCUAGCGUUGUUCGGAAUUACUGGGCGUAAAGCGCACGUAGGCGGCUUUGUAAGUUAGAGGUGAAAGCCCGGAGCUCAACUCCGGAACUGCCUUUAAGACUGCAUCGCUUGAAUCCAGGAGAGGUGAGUGGAAUUCCGAGUGUAGAGGUGAAAUUCGUAGAUAUUCGGAAGAACACCAGUGGCGAAGGCGGCUCACUGGACUGGUAUUGACGCUGAGGCGCGAAAGCGUGGGGAGCAAACAGG